GUCCUCAGGAAAUUCAUAACAUGAGAGUGUCAGGGAAUCAUGUCCCAGAACAUGUCAAGGGCAUGUGGACAGGAUCCAUCCUCUGUUUUGUUUGGACUCUUCUCCCGCAGCAACAAGAGUUCUGCCAAAUGACCAGAUUGGAAUGGGGACAGGUCACUCUGCAGAGAAUCAAGACAUUUGAAAUUCAGUCUCAGCUGUGCCGUGCAAUCUCUCUAAGCCUUGGUUUCCUCGUUUGUGACAGGAGGAAUUUAUAAUCAUGGCCUCGUCAACCUCAAGGGGCUCGUGGGAGAAUCUGAAUAAGCCUGAUCUUAUCUCCGAAAUAAGCAAGGCCCAAACCUACCUGUGUCGUGUAGCAGAAAUAGAAGAGCAGUGAGAAGGAGAAAACGGUUACCAAACAGCAAGAAGUGACCUAAGAAGGGUGGACAGUUGAUGGAAGUGAUGAGGAACGGUCUACAUGGGGAAGGAAACCGGUCAUUCCUUCCAAACUGCCAUGGCCCUCCCUAAAUGAUAUGGUGACCAUCUGAGGAACAUCUACCUUCAACCUGAUGGCACACUCCUUAAAAGUAAGGACUUGCACUAUUCAUCUUUGAUCCCUCUAUGUCCACCAUGCUGAAUGUCGUAGGAGCCCAAUAAAUGCCCAUUAAUCAAAUCAAGGACCCAACAGUCAUUCGUAAAAAAAAAAAAAAAAAAAAGUGACAAGUGACAUGCAGUGAAUUACAGACUGUCUUAACUACCUGUUAGGAUUUCAGCAAAACCUACAAAGCUUGCCCUUUUGCGAGUCUACAGACAGCAAUAUUUAUGACAGCAGACCUUCAAUUAAAAAUCAUUACUUAAGUUCCUUUAUUACAGCUACAAAUAAACUUUAUUUGAUGUAAUGUAAUAAAACAUUUUCAAAUUUAACAACAUUUAUCUGACCAGAAUCAAUAAUUUAAAUUAUGAAUGUAAGUAUAUACAGUCACUUUAGCAAAUCUGCGGUUCAGGAAUUUAUACAAGCUUUGUCUGAAGCCCACCUCCCCUUCCAGACCCUUCUUUGUGUCUGGUGAGAUGCAACGUCAGUGAGAGUG